GGCUCAGGACGAACGCUGGCGGCGUGCCUAAUACAUGCAAGUCGAGCGGACGAAUUUUUGGUGCUUGCACCAAAUUUUCGUUAGCGGCGGACGGGUGAGUAACACGUGGGUAACCUACCUUAUAGAUUGGGAUAACUCCGGGAAACCGGGGCUAAUACCGAAUAUGACUUUUAAACACAUGUUUGGAAGUUGAAAGACGGUUUUGCUGUCACUAUAAGAUGGACCCGCGGCGCAUUAGCUAGUUGGUGAGGUAAUGGCUCACCAAGGCCACGAUGCGUAGCCGACCUGAGAGGGUGAUCGGCCACACUGGGACUGAGACACGGCCCAGACUCCUACGGGAGGCAGCAGUAGGGAAUCUUCCACAAUGGACGAAAGUCUGAUGGAGCAACGCCGCGUGAGUGAAGAAGGAUCUCGGUUCGUAAACUCUGUUGCAAGGGAAG
rnacentral:rRNA from 1 species